AGCGGUCGCGCAUCGAGGUACUAACCGCGCCCAACACUGCCUGACUACGGUGAUCGGACGAGAACCGGUAUAUCCAGCGUGCUAUGGCCGUU
rnacentral:misc_RNA from 1 species